rnacentral:lncRNA from 1 species
GAAGACGCCUCCACCCUCUCUCCCGCCAGAAGUGACGUCAGUCACGUGGGAGGACAAUGGUGAGAAGAGGGAACCUAAGAAUUCCUGGACUCUGACUGGGCGUGAGAAAUGGCCGGAAGUAGCUUCGAGUCCGUCAUUCAAGCAGUAGAGGCUCUGGAGAAAAACUGGAGCGCAUCUGCUUAAAGGGCCGCCCAGGGUCAGGAUGGAGGGGCAAAGUCCGAGCAGGAACACAGGCCCCAGACCAGGAAGGCAUUCUGCUAAAGAAGGGGACCCGAAACCUCAGCUACCAGCGCCGAUGGUUCAUCCUCCGAGGAAACCUCCUCUUCUACCUAGAACACUAGACCGACCAUGCACCCCUGAGCCUCAUCCUGUUAGAGAACUGCCAGGUGGAACCACACCUUAAGGCUGCAGAACCCUAUGCCUUUACCAUCCUGACCCCUGGGGUGGAGGGCACAGGUGGGCGGGCCUACAAGCUGGCUGCAGAAACCCAGGAAGAGCUGGAGACUUGGCUGUGGGCACUGGCUGGCGCGAGCUGGAGGCGGCUGGCUGGGCUGCUGUCCCCCCUCCCCCCCCACCAAAACCCAAUACUGGGAGCUGUGCCAGGCAACUGGCCAAGAACCCAUCUCAUCCCCAGAGGACAGUGGCUUUCUAGCCACUGUGAGUACCCCCUCCAGCUUCCAGGAGUUGCAUGAGCACUUUGGGAAGGAGAUCCGGGUGCUGCACGUGGUACAUAGAGAGCUCCAGGCAGCCAGUGACAAUGGAGACAGCAGAUCCCAGGCAAAGAUGGAGCAGGAGCUCAACCAGUGUCUGAUGAGUGACUGAGAGAUGGACCCAAAGCUAAGAGGUACCUACUUGCCAAGACAGCAGACUGCUUCAACAGAGACCCAGGUCCUGGCUCUGUCCCUCCCUCCCUCGUCCUUACCCCAUCCCCCCCUCAUCAAAUAACAAGGCAGAAAACAGGCCCAGGUACAACA